rnacentral:rRNA from 1 species
GACGAACGCUGGCGGCGUGCCUAAUACAUGCAAGUAGGACGCAGUUGCGAACGGGUGAGUAACGCGUAGGUAACUGCCUAUUAGAGGGGGAUAACUAUUGGAAACGAUAGCUAAUACCGCAUACUAGUAGAUGGACCUGCGUUGUAUUAGCUAGUAGGUUGGGUAAUGGCCUACCUAGGCGACGAUACAUAGCCGGCCUGAUAGGGUGAUCGGCCCCAGUGGGCACGGGACACGGCCCAGACUCCUACGGGGUGCAGCAGUAGGGAAUCUUCGGAAAUGGGGGGAACCCUGACCGAGCAACGCCGCGUGAGUGAAGGAGGUUUUCGGAUCGUAAAACUCUGUUGUUAAGGAAGCGGUACUUAACCAGAAAGGGACGGCUAACUCCGUGCCAGCAGCCGCGGUAAUUC